GACGAACGCUGGCGGCGUGCUUAACACAUGCAAGUCGAACGGAAAGGGACUGAGUUUGCUGCGUGCUCAAGUGGCGCAAGGGUGUGUAUAACACGUGAGACAUGCGCUCCACUCUGGGAUAUAAUCAGUAAACACGGGCUAUUAUCCGAUAUGCGACCCUGCUGCAUGUCGUGGGUUCGUAAGAAUCGCCGGUUGGGGAUGGACUCGCGGCUUAUCAGCUUGUUGGUGGGGUAUCGGCUUACCAAGGCUCUGACGGGUAGCCGGCCUGAGAGGGUGACCGGCCACAUUGGGACUGAGACACGGCCCAGACUCCUACGGGAGGCAGCAGUGGGGAAUAUUGCACAAUGGGCGGAAGCCUGAUGCAGCAACGCCGCGUGAGGGAUGACGGCCUUCGGGUUGUAAACCGCUUUCGCCAGGGAAGAAGCGUGAGUGACGGUAAUGGGUAAAGAAGCACCGGCUAACUACGUG
rnacentral:rRNA from 1 species